rnacentral:snRNA from 1 species
AUAUUUAUUUAGGAAGGUGGUUUUCCCAGGGCAAGCUCACCCAUUGCACUGCGGGUGUGCUGAACCCUGCGAUUUCCCCAAAUGCAGGAAACUCGACUGCAUAAUUUGUGCUAGUGGGGAACUGCCUUCGCACUCUUCCGGG